UUUGUUUCCUUGAGAUGGAGGACCUUAACUUUUGGUUAACCUUACGAGUUGUGAACAUGAGAUUGGCACGACGUAUAAUGGGGCAUAAAGCAACUGCCUAGCAUUUUUCCUAUUUCUCCUUACGCCCUCGUGAGGACACUUUUAACAUAUCAUUUUAUGAGAUCGACUUACAAGUUCCUCGAUUGAAUUCAUUACAUGGUGUGUCUGAUGCUGUAAGAGCAGAAAUGGAUCUUCUCGAGAUUGUUAGUUCGGG
rnacentral:misc_RNA from 1 species